rnacentral:tRNA from 1 species
GCCCCAGUAGCUCAGGGGAUAGAGCAGCGGCCUUCUAAUCCGCCGGUCGGGGGUUCGAUUCCCUCCUGGGGCACC